CUUCGUUUUUGUCCGCGAAGUAGACACAACACUCUCAAUGUUGGGAUUCAGGGUUCGAGCCCCUGAGGGGGGG
rnacentral:tRNA from 2 species